UAUCGUUUAUUUGAUAGUACCCUUACUACAUGGAUACCUGUGGUAAUUCUAGAGCUAAUACAUGCUAAAAACCCCGACUUUCGGGAGGGGUGUAUUUAUUAGAUAAAAAAUCAAUGCCCUCCGGGGCUUAUUGACGAUUCAGAAUAACUCAACGGAUCGCAUGGCCUUGCGCCGGCGACGGUUCAUUCAAAUUUCUGCCCUUUUUAACUUUCGAUGGUAAGGUAGUGGCUUACCAUGGUUUCGAUGGGUAACGGGGAAUUAGGGUUCGAUUCCGGAGAAGGAGCCCGAGCAACAGCUCCUACAUCCAAGGAAGGCAGCAGGCGCGCAAAUUACCCAAUCCCGACACGGGGAGGUAGUGACAAUAAAUACUGAUGCGAGGCUCUUUUGGGUCGCGCAAUCGGAAUGAGUACAAUUUAAACCUCUUAACGAGGAACAAUUGGAGGGCAAGUCUGGUGCCAGCAGCCGCGGUAAUUCCAGCUCCAAUAGCGUAUAUUAAAGUUGUUGCAGUUAAAAAGCUCGUAGUUGAAUCUUGGGCCUGGCUGGCCGGUCCGCCUCACCGCGUGCACUGGUCCGGCCGGGCCUUUCCUUCUGGGGAGCCCCAUGCCCUUCACUGGGUGUGCGGGGGAUCCAGGACUUUUACCUUGAAAAAAUUAGAGUGUUCAAAGCAGGCCUUUGCUCGGAUACGUUAGCAUGGAAUAAUAGAAUAAGACGUGCGAUCUUAUUUUGUUGGUUUCUAGGACCGCCGUAAUGAAUAAUAGGGAUAGUCGGGGGCAUCAGUAUUCAAUUGUCAGAGGUGAAAUUCUUGGAUUUAUUGAAGACUAACUACUGCGAAAGCAUUUGCCAAGGAUGUUUUUCAUUAAUCAGUGAACCGAAAGUUAGGGGAUCGGAAGACGAUCAGAUACCGUCGUAGUCUUUAACCCGUAAACUAUGCCCGACUAGGGAUCGGGCGAUGUUUCUUUAUUGACUCGCUCGGCACCUUUCGAG
rnacentral:rRNA from 1 species